AGAGUUUGAUCCUGGCUCAGGAUGAACGCUAGCGACAGGCUUAACACAUGCAAGUCGAGGGGCAGCGGGGGUAGCGAUACCCGCCGGCGACCGGCGCACGGGUGAGUAACGCGUAUGCAACUUGCCUAUCAGAGGGGGAUAACCCGGCGAAAGUCGGACUAAUACCGCAUGAAGCAGGGGCCCCGCAUGGGGGUAUUUGCUAAAGAUUCAUCGCUGAUAGAUAGGCAUGCGUUCCAUUAGGCAGUUGGCGGGGUAACGGCCCACCAAACCGACGAUGGAUAGGGGUUCUGAGAGGAAGGUCCCCCACAUUGGUACUGAGACACGGACCAAACUCCUACGGGAGGCAGCAGUGAGGAAUAUUGGUCAAUGGCCGAGAGGCUGAACCAGCCAAGUCGCGUGAGGGAUGAAGGUUCUAUGGAUCGUAAACCUCUUUUAUAAGGGAAUAAAGUGCGGGACGUGUCCCGUUUUGUAUGUACCUUAUGAAUAAGGAUCGGCUAACUCCGUGCCAGCAGCCGCGGUAAUACGGAGGAUCCGAGCGUUAUCCGGAUUUAUUGGGUUUAAAGGGUGCGUAGGCGGCCUUUUAAGUCAGCGGUGAAAGUCUGUGGCUCAACCAUAGAAUUGCCGUUGAAACUGGGGGGCUUGAGUAUGUUUGAGGCAGGCGGAAUGCGUGGUGUAGCGGUGAAAUGCUUAGAUAUCACGCAGAACCCCGAUUGCGAAGGCAGCCUGCCAAGCCAUGACUGACGCUGAUGCACGAAAGCGUGGGGAUCAAACAGGAUUAGAUACCCUGGUAGUCCACGCAGUAAACGAUGAUCACUAGCUGUUUGCGAUACAUUGUAAGCGGCACAGCGAAAGCGUUAAGUGAUCCACCUGGGGAGUACGCCGGCAACGGUGAAACUCAAAGGAAUUGACGGGGGCCCGCACAAGCGGAGGAACAUGUGGUUUAAUUCGAUGAUACGCGAGGAACCUUACCCGGGUUUGAACGCAUUCGGACCGAGGUGGAAACACCUUUUCUAGCAAUAGCCGUUUGCGAGGUGCUGCAUGGUUGUCGUCAGCUCGUGCCGUGAGGUGUCGGCUUAAGUGCCAUAACGAGCGCAACCCUUGCCACUAGUUACUAACAGGUAAAGCUGAGGACUCUGGUGGGACUGCCAGCGUAAGCUGCGAGGAAGGCGGGGAUGACGUCAAAUCAGCACGGCCCUUACAUCCGGGGCGACACACGUGUUACAAUGGCGUGGACAAAGGGAAGCCACCUGGCGACAGGGAGCGAAUCCCCAAACCACGUCUCAGUUCGGAUCGGAGUCUGCAACCCGACUCCGUGAAGCUGGAUUCGCUAGUAAUCGCGCAUCAGCCAUGGCGCGGUGAAUACGUUCCCGGGCCUUGUACACACCGCCCGUCAAGCCAUGGGAGCCGGGGGUACCUGAAGUCCGUAACCGAAAGGAUCGGCCUAGGGUAAAACUGGUGACUGGGGCUAAGUCGUAACAAGGUAGCCGUACCGGAAGGUGCGGCUG
rnacentral:rRNA from 1 species